UCGAAUACCACUUCGAGGAAAGGUUGUGCUGGUUGUCUUUACCAGAUGGCAUUUGUGCACACCUUUCUGACCCUCUUCUUUCAAAAACCUGUGAACCUCUUGUAGGCCAAGAGAUUGGUCUACGUUUUUUGUUUACAAACCCCUGUUGCAUGUACAUGAACGUUUGUUGAUAAUAUAACA
rnacentral:misc_RNA from 1 species